GAUAUCAACUGAAAAAGUCAUCAACAACAAAAUUGAAUAACUCAUCAAGAUCUAAAACUUUUAUUUUGGUCAUUUCUUCAUACGACAAAGUGAUAGUAACAUUGUUCACAAAAUUGACAUAUCUCUUAUCUGGUUUUAUAAACUAUAACACAUAUAUGUAAAAUUUGUGAAUAAUAUUACUAAUAUUUCGUCAGAUGAAGAAAUAAAAAAAUAAAAGUUUUAGAUCUUGAUGAGUUAUUCAACUUUGUUGUUGAUGACUUUUUCAAUUGAAAUC
rfam:Oryza sativa Japonica Group DNA, chromosome 4, cultivar: Nipponbare, complete sequence.